AGUGAACGCUGGCGGCAGGCCUAACACAUGCGAGUCGAGCGGCAGCGGGUCCUUCGGGAUGCCGGCGAGCGGCGGACGGGUGAGGAAUGCAUCGGAAUCUGCCCUGUCGUGGGGGAUAACCUAGGGAAACUUAGGCUAAUACCGCAUACGACCCACGGGUGAAAGCGGGGGAUCGCAAGACCUCGCGCGAUAGGAUGAGCCGAUGUCCGAUUAGCUAGUUGGCGGGGUAAAGGCCCACCAAGGCGACGAUCGGUAGCUGGUCUGAGAGGAUGAUCAGCCACACUGGGACUGAGACACGGCCCAGACUCCUACGGGAGGCAGCAGUGGGGAAUAUUGGACAAUGGGCGCAAGCCUGAUCCAGCCAUGCCGCGUGGGUGAAGAAGGCCUUCGGGUUGUAAAGCCCUUUUGUCCGGGAAGAAAUCGUCUGGGCUAAUACCCCGGGCGGAUGACGGUACCGGAAGAAUAAGCACCGGCUAACUUCGUG
rnacentral:rRNA from 1 species